rnacentral:rRNA from 1 species
GAUCUGGCUCAGAUUGAACGCUGGCGGCAGGCCUAACACAUGCAAGUCGAGCGGAUGAAGAGAGCUUGCUCUCUGAUUCAGCGGCGGACGGGUGAGUAAUGCCUAGGAAUCUGCCUGAUAGUGGGGGACAACGUUUCGAAAGGAACGCUAAUACCGCAUACGUCCUACGGGAGAAAGCAGGGGACCUUCGGGCCUUGCGCUAUCAGAUGAGCCUAGGUCGGAUUAGCUAGUUGG